GGUAACAGGUCCAGCUUGCUGGAUGCUGACGAGCGGCGGACGGGUGAGUAACGCAUAGGAAUCUACCCGGUAGUGGGGGAUAACCUGGGGAAACCCAGGCUAAUACCGCAUACGUCCUACGGGAGAAAGGGGGCUUUGGCUCCCGCUAUUGGAUGAGCCUAUGCCGGAUUAGCUGGUUGGUGAGGUAAUGGCUCACCAAGGCGACGAUCCGUAGCUGGUCUGAGAGGAUGAUCAGCCACAUCGGGACUGAGACACGGCCCGAACUCCUACGGGAGGCAGCAGUGGGGAAUAUUGGACAAUGGGGGCAACCCUGAUCCAGCCAUGCCGCGUGUGUGAAGAAGGCCCUCGGGUUGUAAAGCACUUUCAGCGAGGAAGAACGCCUGUCGGUUAAUACCCGGCAGGAAAGACAUCACUCGCAGAAGAAGCACCGGCUAACUCCGUGCCAGCAGCCGCGGUAAUACGGAGGGUGCAAGCGUUAAUCGGAAUUACUGGGCGUAAAGCGCGCGUAGGUGGCUUGAUAAGCCGGUUGUGAAAGCCCCGGGCUCAACCUGGGAACGGCAUCCGGAACUAUUAGGCUAGAGUGCAGGAGAGGAAGGUAGAAUUCCCGGUGUAGCGGUGAAAUGCGUAGAGAUCGGGAGGAAUACCAGUGGCGAAGGCGGCCUUCUGGACUGACACUGACACUGAGGUGCGAAAGCGUGGGUAGCAAACAGGAUUAGAUACCCUGGUAGUCCACGCCGUAAACGAUGUCGACCAGCCGUUGGGUGCCUAGCGCACUUUGUGGCGAAGUUAACGCGAUAAGUCGACCGCCUGGGGAGUACGGCCGCAAGGUUAAAACUCAAAUGAAUUGACGGGGGCCCGCACAAGCGGUGGAGCAUGUGGUUUAAUUCGAUGCAACGCGAGAACCCUUACCUACCCUUUGACAUCCUGCGAACUUGUGAGAGAUCACU
rnacentral:rRNA from 1 species